rnacentral:tRNA from 1 species
GCCGGGGUUGCCGAGUGGUAAGGCGCGCGCCUGGAGAGCGCGUGGGCUAUGCCCGCGUGGGUUCGAAUCCCACCCCCGGCG